GGACGAACGCUGGCGGCGUGCCUAAUACAUGCAAGUAGAACGCUGAAGAGAGGAGCUUACUCUUCUUGGAUGAGUUGCGAACGGGUGAGUAACGCGUAGGUAACCUGCCUUGUAGCGGGGGAUAACUAUUGGAAACGAUAGCUAAUACCGCAUAACAAUGGAUGACACAUGUCAUUUAUUUGAAAGGGGCAAUUGCUCCACUACAAGAUGGACCUGCGUUGUAUUAGCUAGUAGGUGAGGUAAUGGCUCACCUAGGCGACGAUACAUAGCCGACCUGAGAGGGUGAUCGGCCACACUGGGACUGAGACACGGCCCAGACUCCUACGGGAGGCAGCAGUAGGGAAUCUUCGGCAAUAGGGGCAACCCUGACCGAGCAACGCCGCGUGAGUGAAGAAGGUUUUCGGAUCGUAAAGCUCUGUUGUAAGUCAAGAACGGGUGUGAGAGUGGAAAGUUCACACUGUGACGGUAGCUUACCAGAAAGGGACGGCUAACUACGUG
rnacentral:rRNA from 1 species